CUUCAUUAAGGAAUCUUGAGGUUCUAACAUUAGGAAGAGGACAAAUAGCUGAUACUUUUUUCCAUGCUUUAGCUAAUUGUUCUAUGUUAAAAAAGUUGAAUAUAAAUGAUUCUACACUUGGCAAUGACAUUCAAGAGAUAACUAUAAAUCAUGACAGAUUGUGUCAUCUUCAAUUAACAAAAUGCCGUGUGAUGCGAAUAGCAGUCAGGUGCCCACAACUGGAAACUAUGUCAUUG